ACGGGAGGCAGCAGUCGGGAAUAUUGCGCAAUGGAGGGAACUCUGACGCAGUGACGCCGCGUGCAGGAAGAAGGUUUUCGGAUUGUAAACUGCUUUAGACAGGGAAGAAAAGGACAGUACCUGUAGAAUAAGCUCCGGCUAACUACGUGCCAGCAGCCGCGGUAAUACGUAGGGAGCAAGCGUUAUCCGGAUUUAUUGGGUGUAAAGGGUGCGUAGACGGAGUAGCAAGUUAGUUGUGAAAGCCCUCGGCUUAACUGAGGAACUGCAACUAAAACUGCUAUUCUUGAGUGCAGGAGAGGAAAGCGGAAUUCCUAGUGUAGCGGUGAAAUGCGUAGAUAUUAGGAGGAACACCAGUGGCGAAGGCGGCUUUCUGGACUGUAACUGACGUUGAGGCACGAAAGUGUGGGGAGCAAACAGGAUUAGAUACCCUGGUA
rnacentral:rRNA from 1 species